UACGAAGGGUGCAAGCGUUACUCGGAAUUACUGGGCGUAAAGCGUGCGUAGGUGGUUUGUUAAGUCUGAUGUGAAAGCCCUGGGCUCAACCUGGGAAUUGCAUUGGAUACUGGCAGGCUAGAGUGCGGUAGAGGGUAGUGGAAUUCCCGGUGUAGCAGUGAAAUGCGUAGAGAUCGGGAGGAACAUCUGUGGCGAAGGCGACUACCUGGACCAGCACUGACACUGAGGCACGAAAGCGUGGGAGCAAACAGG
rnacentral:rRNA from 1 species